UUACUAUGUUUCUAAUUUGCAGAAAGAGAUAUUGCAUAUAAAAAUAAAUCUAAAGGGGAAAUACAGAUGAACUGUAGAUACAAUAACUGAGGGUUGUUUGCUACGCUUUAAAAUAUUUAAGCCCACCAUUGAUACACCAUUGAUGAAAAUUUACCAUAUUGACUAUUUGUAAGAGAACACCAAUGAAUUCUGCAUGAUGGAGGACUAUCUUAAGAAAGGGGGUCCUCACACCUAUAUCAUGUUAGUUUCCAAAAAAAGCUGAUACAAACUGAAACACUAAAAGGUGAUAUAAACUGUAAGUUGUGUGAUUUUUACAUUGAAAUAUAAAUGAUGUCAUGUA